AUUGAACGCUGGCGGAAUGCUUUACACAUGCAAGUCGAACGGCAGCACGGACUUCGGUCUGGUGGCGAGUGGCGAACGGGUGAGUAAUACAUCGGAACGUGCCCAGUCGUGGGGGAUAACGUAGCGAAAGCUACGCUAAUACCGCAUACGAUCUAAGGAUGAAAGCGGGGGAUCGCAAGACCUCGCGCGAUUGGAGCGGCCGAUGGCAGAUUAGGUAGUUGGUAGGGUAAAGGCCUACCAAGCCGACGAUCUGUAGCUGGUCUGAGAGGAUGGUCAGCCCAAGUGGGACUGGAACACGGCCCAGACCCGUACGGGAGGCAGCGGUGGGGAAUUUGGGACAUUGGGCGCAAGCCUGGACCAUCCAUUCCGCGUGCAGGAUGAAGGCUUUCGUGUUGUAAACUGCUUUUGUACAGAACGAAAAGGCUCUGGUUAAUCCCCGGGGCUCAUGACGGUACUGUAAGAAUAAGAACCGGCUAACUACGUGCAAGAGGCCGCCGUAA
rnacentral:rRNA from 1 species